UACAGAGGUGGCAAGCGUUGUUCGGAAUUACUGGGCGUAAAGGGCGCGUAGGCGGCCUUCUAAGUCAGACGUGAAAUCCCCCGGCUUAACCUGGGAACUGCGUCUGAUACUGGAGGGCUUGAGUGCGGGAGAGGGAUGUGGAAUUCCAGGUGUAGCGGUGAAAUGCGUAGAUAUCAGGAGGAACACCGGUGGCGAAGGCGGGUCUCUGGGCCGAUACUGACGCUGAGGAGCGAAAGCGUGGGGAGCGAACAGG
rnacentral:rRNA from 1 species